GUAUCUAUACAUAUAUUAAAAGUAGUCUUCUAUCUCAAUUUUACUGUCCACGUUUUUAAAAUCUUAAAAAAAAUUAAAAAUUAAUUUGGGUCAUAAAAAAUUGCUUAUUCAUAUUUGUUUUCUUCGUCGUAAUGCCUCUAGCUGUCCUCUCUCUCUUUUUCUCUUUGUCUUUUUCCAUUGUGUGCUACUUUUUUUCUUCAAAUACUGGCUCUAAUUGUUUCUAUAACUUGGGUUUCUAGAAAAGCUUUGGCAGUGUAACAUUCUCAUGUGGAUUAUACUAUCUAGGCUACACAGUCUAGACAAUGCAACUGAAAAUGUUGUUAUCGAAGGUUGUAAAAUUAACUUCUCGGUUAAUAUGAAGCAAGGCAAAAUGGUGCAAAUUCUCAAGGAUUGUUCAAUUCGGAUUCUUUCGAGAUAGUUAUGGAUGUUUCUUAGUCCUAAUGGUUAUGGUAAAUCUACCCUUUUAAAGGUACAUUCAACCUCUAAUUUUCUUUUCCCCUAUUAGAAAAUCAAUAUAGGUAUUGAUAAUCUAAAACAGAAAAUGCCACUUGCUCCACCUAGUGUGAUAAUGGAUCAACUUCAAUUUCCCUAAGAAUUUGUAGACUUCACCAUUGAAAUUUUUAGAUAUCCAUAUGCACCUUUAAAGGAGUGCAAAUAAUUAGGAAAAUAAUAACUUUUGUGGUGGGCAAGUAGCAUUGCUCAUCUAAGAAAAAGUAUGUUACCAUUAUGUGUUUGAUAAACUAUUGAUUUUCUUUUUGUUAUGAAAAUAUAACCUGAAUUAUUAUGAGCUGCUUAUAUUGUGAAUCAUACAAAUCUUAGCUGGUCUUUUGCCCCCAACAAAUGGAACAUUAUUUGUUCAAAGUCUAAAAAGUUAUGUAUUCCAAUAUCUAGACCAUCAAGUUGGUUCUAUUUCCUUAGGAAAAACUAUUUUUACCAUAUGUUUUGGAUUUUAUUCUUGUAUUAGUUUUGUUACAUCAAUAUUUAUGAUGGUUUGGGUUUUUGGGGUGCUUAUGAUGUAAAUCCUGUAAUUAUUUUUAACUUAAAUUUGACCAUGAUGUUGGAGAAACUUUAUCGAUGCUGUUGGUU